rnacentral:rRNA from 1 species
UACGUAGGGUGCGAGCGUUCAUCGGAAUUACUGGGCGUAAAGCGUGCGCAGGCGGUUUUGUAAGACAGAGGGUAAAUCCCCGGGCUUAACCUGGGAACUGCCUUUGUGACUGCAAGGCUUGAGUGCGGCAGAGGGGGAUGGAAUUCCGCGUGUAGCAGUGAAAUGCGUAGAUAUGCGGAGGAACACCGAUGGCGAAGGCAAUCCCCUGGACCUGUACUGACGCUCAUGCACGAAAGCGUGGGGAGCAAACAGG